rnacentral:rRNA from 1 species
UACGUAGGGUGCGAGCGUUAAUCGGAAUUACUGGGCGUAAAGCGUGCGCAGGCGGUUCGUGAUGUCUGAUGUGAAAGCCCCGGGCUCAACCUGGGAAUUGCAUUGGAAACUAGCGGGCUGGAGUGUGGCAGAGGGGGGUGGAAUUCCGAGUGUAGAGGUGAAAUUCGUAGAUAUUCGGAGGAACACCAGUGGCGAAGGCGGCCCACUGGCUCGACACUGACGCUGAGGUGCGAAAGCGUGGGGAGCAAACAGG